rnacentral:rRNA from 1 species
CCUACGGGAGGCAGCAGUGGGGAAUCUUGCGCAAUGGGCGAAAGCCUGACGCAGCGACGCCUCGUGGGGGAUGAAGGCUCUCGGGUUGUAAACCCCUUUCGGCAGGAACGAAAUUGACGGUACCUGAAGAAGAAGCACCGGCCAACUACGUGCCAGCAGCCGCGGUAAUACGUAGGGUGCAAGCGUUGUCCGGAUUUAUUGGGCGUAAAGAGCUCGUAGGCGGCUUCGUAAGUCGGGUGUGAAACCUCCAGGCUUAACCUGGAGACGCCACCCGAUACUGCGAUAGCUAGAGUCUGGUAGGGGAUCACGGAAUUCCUGGUGUAGCGGUGAAAUGCGCAGAUAUCAGGAGGAACACCGAUGGCGAAGGCAGUGAUCUGGGCCAGUACUGACGCUGAGGAGCGAAAGCGUGGGGAGCAAACAGGAUUAGAUACCCUGGUAGUCCACGCCGUAAACGUUGGGCACUAGGUGUGGGUCCUUAUCAACGGGAUCCGUGCCGCAGCUAACGCAAUAAGUGCCCCGCCUGGGGAGUACGGUCGCAAGCUAAAACUUAAAUGAAUUGACGG